rfam:Gossypium hirsutum cultivar TM-1 chromosome 11, whole genome shotgun sequence
AUCCAAUGAUGAGGACACUCACGAAAUAACUCCUUAAAUCACUCCCAAGCCUCAGCAAAGACUCGUCACCCAAUUGUUAAAAAGUUGUGAUCUCGUUCCUCAACUU